rnacentral:rRNA from 1 species
GACGAACGCUGGCGGCGUGCUUAACACAUGCAAGUCGAACGGAAAGGCCCUGCUUUUGUGGGGUGCUCGAGUGGCGAACGGGUGAGUAACACGUGAGUAACCUGCCCUUGACUUUGGGAUAACUUCAGGCAACUGGGGCUAAUACCGGAUAGGAGCUCCUGCUGCCUGGUGGGGGUUGGAAAGUUUCGGCGGUUGGGGAUGGACUCGCGGCUUAUCAGCUUGUUGGUGGGGUAGUGGCUUACCAAGGCUUUGACGGGUAGCCGGCCUGAGAGGGGGACCGGCGACAUUGGGACUGAGAUACGGCCCAGACUCCUACGGGGGGCAGCAGUGGGGAAUAUUGCACAAUGGGCGGAAGCCUGAUGCAGCAACGCCGCGUGCGGGAUGACGGCCUUCGGGGUGGAAACCGCUUUCGCCUGUGACGAAGCGUGAGUGACGGUAAUGGGUAAAGAAGCACCGGCUAACUACGUG